UAGGGUUGGAGCUAGGGUUAGGGUUAGGGUUAGGGUUGGAGCUAGGGUUAGGGUUAGGGUUAGGGUUGGAGCUAGGGUUAGGGUUAGGGUUGGAGCUAGGGUUAGGGUUAGGGUUAGGGUUGGAGCUAGGAGUUAGGGUUGCAGCUAGGGUUAGGGUUAGGGUUAGGGUUGGAGCUAGGGUUAGGGUUAGGGUUAGGGUUGGAGCUAGGGUUAGGGUUAGGGUUAGGGUUGGAGCUAGGGUUACGGUUAGGGUUAGGGUUAGGGUUGGAGCUAGGGUUAGGGUUAGGGUUAGGGUUGGAGCUAGGGUUAGGGUUAGGGUUAGGGUUGGAGCUAGGGUUAUAGUUAGGGUUAGGGUUGGAGCCAGGGUUAGGGUUAGGGUUAGGGUUGGAGCUAGGGUUAGGGUUAGGGUUAGGAUUGGAGCUAGGGUUAGGGUUAGGGUUGGAGCUAGGGUUAGAGUUAGGGUUAGGGUUGGAGCUAGGGUUAGGGUUAGGGUUAGGGUUGGAGCUAGGGUUAGGGUUAGGGUUAGGGUUGGAGCUAGGGUUAGGGUUAGGGUUAGGGUUGGAGCUAGGGUUAGGGUUAGGGUUAGGGUUGGAGCUAGGGUUAGAGUUAGGGUUAGGGUUGGAGCUAGGGUUAGGGUUAGGGUUAGGGUUGGAGCUAGGGUUAGGGUUAGGGUUAGGGUUGGAGCUAGGGUUAGGGUUAGGGUUAGGGUUGGAGCUAGGGUUAGGGUUAGGGUUAGGGUUGGAGCUAGGGUUAGGGUUAGGGUUAGGGUUGGAGCUAGGGUUAGGGUUAGGGUUAGGGUUAGGGUUGGAGCUAGGGUUAGGGUUAGGGUUGGAGCUAGGGUUAGGGUUAGGGUUAGGGUUGGAGCUAGAGUUAGGGUUGCAGCUAGGGUUAGGGUAAGGGUUAGGGUUGGAGCUAGGGUUAGGGUUAGGGUUAGGGUUGGAGCUAGGGUUAGGGUUAGGGUUAGGGUUGGAGCUAGGGUUACGGUUAGGGUUAGAGUUAGGGUUGGAGCUAGGGUUAGGGUUGGAGCUAGGGUUAGGGUUAGGGUUAGGGUUGGAGCUAGGGUCAGGGUUAGGGAUGGAGCUAGGGUUAGGGUUAGGGUUAGGGUUGGAGCUAGGGUUAGGGUUAGGGUUAGGGUUGGAGCUAGGGUUAGGGUUAGGGUUGGAGCUAGGGUUAGAGCUAGGGUUAGGGUUAGGGUUGGAGCUAGGGUUAGGGUUAGGGUUAGGGUUGGAGCUAGGGUUAGGGUUAGGGUUGGAGCUAGGGUUAGGGUUAGGGUUGGAGCUAGGGUUAGAGUUAGGGUUAGGGUUGGAACUAGGGUUAAAGUUAGGGUUAGGGUUGGAGCUAGGGUUAGGGUUAGGGUUAGGGUUGGAGCUAGGGUUAGGGUUAGGGUUAGGGUUGGAGCUAGGGUUAGGGUUAGGGUUAGUGAGCUAGGGUUAGGGUUAGGGUUGGAGCUAGGGUUAGGGUUAGGGUUAGGGUUGGAGCUAGGGUUAGGGUUAGGGUUAGGGUUGGAGCUAGGGUUAGAGUUAGGGUUAGGGUUGGAGCUAGGGUUAGGGUUAGGGUUAGGGUUGGAGCUAGGGUUAGGGUUAGGGUUAGGGUUGGAGCUAGGGUUAGGGUUAGGGUUAGGGUUGGAGCUAGGGUUAGGGUUAGGGUUAGGGUUUGAGCUAGGGUUACGGUCAGGGUUAGAGUUAGGGUUGGAGCUAGGGUUAGGGUUGGAGCUAGGGUUAGAGUUAGGGUUGGAGCUAGGGUUAGGGUUAGGGUUAGGGUUGGAGCUAGGGUUAGGGUUAGGGUUAGGGUUGGAGCUAGGGUUAGGGUUAGGGUUAGGGUUGGAGCUAGGGUUAGGGUUGCAGCUAUGGUUAGGGUUGCAGCUAUGGUUAGAGUUAGGGUUAGGGUUGGAGCUAGGGUUAGGGUUAGGGUUAGGGUUGGAGCUAGGGUUAGGGUUAGGGUUAGGGUUGGAGCUAGGGUUAGGGUUAGGGUUAGGGUUGGAGCUAGGGUUAGGGUUAGAGUUAGAGUUGGAGCUAGGGUUAGGGUUGGAGCUAGGGUUAGGGUUAGGGUUAGGGUUAGGGUUGGAGCUAGAGUUAGGGUUGCAGCUAAGGUUAGGGUUAGGGUUAGGGUUGGAGCUAGGGUUAGGGUUAGGGUUGGAGCUAGGGUUAGGGUUAGGGUUAGGGUUAGGGUUGGAGCUAGAGUUAGGGUUGCAGCUAGGGUUAGGGUUAGGGUUAGGGUUGGAGCUAGGGUUAGGGUUAGGGUUAGGGUUGGAGCUAGGGUUAGGGUUAGGGUUAGGGUUGGAGCUAGGGUUACGGUUAGGGUUAGGGUUGGAGCUAGGGUUGGAGCUAGGGUUAGGGUUAGGGUUAGGGUUGGAGCUAGGGUUAGGGUUAGGGUUAGGGUUGGAGCUAGGGUUAGGGUUAGGGUUAGGGUUGGAGCUAGGGUUAGAGUUAGGGUUAGGGUUGGAGCUAGGGUUAGGGUUAGGGUUAGGGUUGGAGCUAGGGUUAGGGUUAGGGUUAGGGUUGGAGCUAGGGUUACGGUUAGGGUUAGGGUUGGAGCUAGGGUUGGAGCUAGGGUUAGGGUUAGGGUUGGAGCUAGGGUUAGGGUUAGGGUUGGAGCUAGGGUUAGGGUUAGGGUUAAGGUUGGAGCUAGGGUUAGGGUUAGGGUUAGGGUUGGAGUUAGGGUUAGUGUUGGAGCUAGGGUUAGGGUUGGGCUCGGAGCUAGGAUUUUUCUGAGUGCAAUGAACCAAUUCCCGAGUCUCUAGGACGUUCCCUAAAAAAAUUUGAUUUUUUCCCAUAGGAAUGCAUGGGUUAGGGUUAGGGUUAGGGUUGGAGCUAGGGUUCGGGUUAGGGUUAGGGUUGGAGUUAGGGUUAUGGUUAGGGUUAGGGUUGGAGCUAGGGUUAGGGUUAGGGUUAGGGUUGGAGUUAGGGUUAGUGUUAGGGUUAGGGUUGGAGUUAGGGUUAGUGUUGGAGCUAGGGUUAGGGUUGGGCUUGGAGCUAGGAUUUUUCUGAGUGCACUGAACCUUUUCCCGAGUCUCUAGGACAUUCCUAAAAAAAUUUGAUUUUUUCCCAUAGGAAUGCAUGGGUUAGGGUUAUGGUUAGGGUUAGGGUUGGAGCUAGGGUUAGGGUUAGGGUUAGGGUUGGAGUUAGGGUUAGUGUUAGGGUUAGGGUUGGAGUUAGGGUUAGUGUUGGAGCUAGGGUUAGGGUUGGGCUUGGAGCUAGGAUUUUUCUGAGUGCAAUGAACCAACUC